GGAAUCCAACCCGGCCCCCUGUAUUGGAAGCGCAGAGUCUUGACCACUGGACCACCAGGCAAAUAUCCAAAGGAAUGAGCGUGAUUCAUGAAUUUUUCUCAUUUAAUCUUCAUAACAA